ensembl:lncRNA
UUGACCUCCAGCCGUGAUGAACCGUUUUGGUAAAGUCUUUCAGGGCCAGGAUGAUGAUGAUGAUACAUGGAUUUAAUGUGGCACUUUUCAGUGACUCAGACUAUUCAAAUGCUGUUUUCUAGAACUAUUCUGUAGUUGUCUCUGUUCUGCAUCACUUUUCAAAUGACUCAAAAGAUGCUUGACUGGUGGUAUUAUCUGUUUUAAGUAUAAGACCCAAUCAGGUUAUAUUGUAACUAGAAGUCAGUCCCGGGCAGGUUGAGUUGUAACUAGAAGUCAGUCCCGGGCAGGUUGAGUUGUAACUAGAAGUCAGUCCCGGUCAGGUUGAGUUGUAACUAGAAGUCAGUCCCGGUCAGGUUGAGUUGUAACUAGAAGUCAGUCCCGGUCAGGUUGGGUUGUAGCUGUAGAAGUCAGUCCCGGUCUGGUUGGGUAAUAGAAGUCAGUCCCGGUCUGGUUGGGUUGUAGAAGUCAGUCCCGGUCUGGUUGGGUUGUAGAAGUCAGUCCCGGUCUGGUUGGGUUGUAGAAGUCAGUCCCGGUCCGGGUUGGGUUGUAGAAGUCAAAGUCAGUCCCUGUCCUGGUCAGGUUGGGAGGGGUGUCAGUGCUGUUACUCUGAAGGUAUUGCACUUGUCCCGGCCUGUUUAGGAUUGAGGAGAUGGUGCUGCUACUCUUUGAACCUGCUAAAGCAGUAAUUGUUUAAAAUGAAUGAAUGAAACAUAUAUUUACCAAAAAUGAGACUUGUAUGUUUUCUGUCAUGAUUCUGUUUUUCUAGAUUUGUUUUUAAUGAAUGAAGAGGUAGUUUUCUAAGUUGUAGAUUGAUUGUCGGAGCUUAAAUGUGUCCAUAUGGGGAGUAAUUGUUUCAUGCUGUGGUUUUGUCUCAAAUAAAGUUUCCAUGUAAAUUAGCUUCCCGUUUCAAAGUUUCCAUUGGGCUUUGAUUUGAAAUGUGUAGCCAGCCUGCUUCUCCAGAUGUGAUUGGGUGUAAGGAUGCUUCUCCAGAUGUGAUUGGAUGUAGGGGUGGUGGGAUGUUCAGAUAUAUUAUCUCCACCCUGCUUCUCGAGAUGUGAUUGGAUGUAAGGAUGCUUCUCGAGAUGUGAUUGGAUGUAAGGAUGCUUCUCGAGAUGUGAUUGGGUGUAAGGAUGCUUCUCGAGAUGUGAUUGGGUGUAAGGAUGCUUCUCGAGAUGUGAUUGGGUGUAAGGAUGCUUCUCGAGAUGUGAUUGGGUGUAAGGAUGCUUCUCGAGAUGUGAUUGGAUGUAAGGCUGCUUCUCGAGAUGUGAUUGGAUGUAAGGAUGCUUCUCGAGAUGUGAUUGGAUGUAAGGAUGCUUCUCGAGAUGUGAUUGGAUGUAAGGAUGCUUCUCGAGAUGUGAUUGGAUGUUCAGAUAUAUUUUAUCUCCAAUCUCCAAAUGCCUUUAAUCUUCGAAUGGGAGAUACUGUGACGGACAGUGUCACACAUCAUAACAUGAGUCAUGUGGUCUUUGGGAAAAGGACCUUUCUGACAACUGGAGCACAGGAGGGUUUUGAAAUCAGAUUUCAAGGCCGACAAAAGAGGUGGCAGGUAGCCUAGUGGUUAGAGUGUAGAGGAGGCAGGUAGCCUAGUGGUUAGAGUGUAGAGGAG